UUUAAUGAGAGUUUGAUCCUGGCUCAGGACGAACGCUGGCGGCGUGCCUAAUACAUGCAAGUAGAACGCUGAGGUUUGGUGUUUACACUAGACUGAUGAGUUGCGAACGGGUGAGUAACGCGUAGGUAACCUGCCUCAUAGCGGGGGAUAACUAUUGGAAACGAUAGCUAAUACCGCAUAAGAGUAAUUAACACAUGUUAGUUAUUUAAAAGGAGCAAUUGCUUCACUGUGAGAUGGACCUGCGUUGUAUUAGCUAGUUGGUGAGGUAAAGGCUCACCAAGGCGACGAUACAUAGCCGACCUGAGAGGGUGAUCGGCCACACUGGGACUGAGACACGGCCCAGACUCCUACGGGAGGCAGCAGUAGGGAAUCUUCGG
rnacentral:rRNA from 1 species